AGAGUUUGAUCCUGGCUCAGGAUGAACGCUAGCGGCAGGCCUAACACAUGCAAGCCGAGGGGCAGCACGGGUAGCAAUACCUGGUGGCGACCGGCGGACCGGUGAGUAACGCGUAUGCAACCUACCCUUAACAGGUGGAUAGCCCGGAGAAAUUCGGAUUAAGACAUCAUAAGACUACACGAGGGCAUCUGAGGGUAGUUAAAGCUGAGGUGGUUAAGGAUGGGCAUGCGUGCCAUUAGCUAGUUGGUAGGGUAACGGCCUACCAAGGCGACGAUGGCUAGGGGGUCUAAAAGGAUGGUCCCCCACACUGGUACUGAGACACGGACCAGACUCCUACGGGAGGCAGCAGUGAGGAAUAUUGGUCAAUGGGUGCAAGCCUGAACCAGCCAUGCCGCGUGCAGGAUGACAGCCCUAAGGGUUGUAAACUGCUUUUGUACGGGAAGAAAUUCAUAUUUUCCAAUGUGGUUGACGGUACUGUACGAAUAAGCAUCGGCUAACUCCGUGCCAGCAGCCGCGGUAAUACGGAGGAUGCGAGCGUUAUCCGGAUUUAUUAGGUUUAAAGGGUGCGUAGGCUGGAUUAUAAGUCAGUGGUGAAACGGUAUAGCUUAACUAUAGCACUGCCAUUGAUACUGUCGUUCUUGAGUAUAGUCGAGGUAGGCGGAAUGUGUAAUGUAGCGGUGAAAUGCUUAGAUAUUACACAGAACACCGAUUGCGUAGGCAGCUUACUAGGCUAUUACUGACGCUGAGGCACGAAAGCGUGGGGAUCAAACAGGAUUAGAUACCCUGGUAGUCCACGCUGUAAACGACGAUCACUCGCUGUAUGCGAUAUACCGUAUGUGGCUGAGCGAAAGCAAUAAGUGAUCCACCUGGGGAGUACGGCGGCAACGUUGAAACUCAAAGGAAUCGACGGGGGCCCGCACAAGCAGAGGAACAUGUGGUUUAAUUCGAUGAUACGCGAGGAACCUUACCUGGGCUUAAAUGCAGUAUGAUUAGCUGGGAAACUGGUUAUCUCUACGGAGCAGAUUGCAAGGUGCUGCAUGGCUGUCGUCAGCUCGUGCCGUGAGGUGUCGGCUUAAGUGCCAUAACGAGCGCAACCCCUAUCGUUAGUUGCCAGCGCGUAGCGGCGGGAACUCUAACGAGACUGCCAUCGUAAGGUGAGAGGAAGGUGGGGAUGACGUCAAGUCAGCACGGCCCUUACGUCCAGGGCUACACACGUGUUACAAUGGCCGGUACAGAGGGCUGCUAAAUGGUGACAUUAAGCUAAUCUCGAAAGCCGGUCUUAGUUCGGAUUGAAGUCUGCAACUCGACUUCAUGAAGCUGGAUUCGCUAGUAAUCGCGCAUCAGCAAUGGCGCGGUGAAUACGUUCCCGGGCCUUGUACACACCGCCCGUCAAGCCAUGGGAGCCGGGGGUACCUAAAGUUCGAGACCGCAAGGAUCGGCCUAGGGUAAAACU
rnacentral:rRNA from 1 species